GGCCUCCUUCCUCUUCAGCACGCUACGAUCCGGCUGGGUCUCACUGAGGAGGCUCUCACAUAGAUCCUGCUACCGUGGAUAACAGCAGUGACGGCCAGCGUGCUGCCAGACGCCGGCAGGGUACCGCAUGCCCUCCGAUGUGCAUAGAACAUGGCACGUGUUCUGUGGGUCUCCACUGUGCAGCUGAGGUCAGCCCUGCACCUGAGAUGGUGGAGUUUUCUGUGGAUGGCUCUCCCGCUGCUGACCCCCUUCCUCUGACCUUUCCCUUCACCUUCUGCUGAGAUAUCAGCUUCUUCCUAUAUGACUUCUAACUUCCCGGAAGAUGCCCACUGCCUGGGGACCAGUCCUUCCUUCCAUACACUUCCACUCUGUACGGAGAUGAACAGACUGCGUGCCCAGGUAGCAUGUACGCAUUUACAUUUAUACGCAUAUAUCCACAGACCUGUAAUACCGGGUGUAUCACAUUCAUAUACCACAUACGUCACCAGUGUUUUUCCCUGUGUCUCUUGGAGAAAGGGGUACAAUGCAAAGGAAAAUCCUGCUGCCUCAUAGUAGGAGCAGCAUCGAGCCACACAGGUGACUGUGCAGGCCCAGGCAAGUGAACCCCUAUUCAAACUACCCGUGUGCUGUGGCUGCUCCUUUGUUCGCUUUUCUUUAUGACAGAGUCUGGCAACGUGGCACCGGUCGGCCUGUAACUUGCUAUGUGGACUUUCAGCAGUCCUUCCACCUGCUUCCUGAGUGUGAGGUUACAGCUGUCGCGGCCACACCCAGCCCAUUCUUCCCGUUCUGUCAAGUGGGCCAAGCACCGAGAUGUUUCCCAGCACUGUGCUUCUUACACUGGCUGGAACCAUCCCAGCACCGUCGAGGACCUUUAAAAACAUCAAGUCUGGACCUAGCUAGACACAUGGAUGAAAUGGCUCCAUCUGGAACACAACUGAGCAUGUGGAAGCUUUAGAAGUCCCAGGUGGUUGAUUAUACUCUGUGGCCAAGAUUGAAAUACCCCGCGAGAGAAAUUGUCUCUGCUUGGGUAUGGGAGGCAGGGACACUAAAAGACUCACCCACCAGGUGUACGAAAUUGGAACGACCACAUCUUUUAAAGACAAUUUUAAAACGCUUUCUACAUGUGUGCUUGCUCUUUGAGGAGCAGCGCUUCCUGCUCAGCCCUAAGCACAGCCGUAAGUACAAAUCCGCCACUGCGCCAGAGAGAAGCUGCUGAGAACCUCCUGCCUUGGAGGUUAGAAACUUUUAUGAGGUACUGAGUAAGUCAGAUGACUAUGGCUUUAAAACCUGGAGGAGAUGAAGAUCGAUUCACAAGGAAAGUUUUCUGCAGACUGGGACCACAGUGUGUGUCACUUGAUUUAGAUGCUUAGAAGCCCUUACUUGUGACUAGGGAAGGUCUCUUGAAUGAAGUGGCUUUUGAGUUAAACAUGGAAGAAGUGUCAUCUUGUGACUAAGAAUUAGGUAAAACACGGUCUUCCUAGAGCAGCAGCAAAGAACUGCUGAAGAGCCAAGGUUACUCAGAGACCAGCACGUCUCUUCUCCUGGGGUGAGAAGUGUAGAAUCACCCUGUGGACCAGAGGCUGGAGAAGGAGGUGUGGUGUGGAGUGCAGGGGCGGUUAGUCAGUGCUCCAGAGCUGGGGCUUUAACCCCUCAGGCUCUAUUGACUAUAUCUGGGAGCCCGGAAGGUCUGUAGUGCUUCGAAGAAUCCAGGGCUAGAGAUAAAGAAAGCUGGAGAUGAAGAGGCUGAGAGCGGAGGGAGGAGAGAAGAGUGAGGCGAAGGUGUUAACAGGGAUGGUGAGAACAAGAACAUUUCUAGGCCAGUGGCAGAAGAAAAAGAGGACACUGGCUAUGCAGCUGACGAAUUUCAGUGGCGGAGAUUUCUCAUCAACUGGGCGUGUCUGGGUGGUGAAAUAGAGGGCUCAGAAAUAGAGGGCUCAAAGCUCACCUUGGGCUAAGGAAGCUGGCAGGCCUCAGGUGGGCACUUCAAGGCUGCUCCACUCUGCUCACUUCUUUGUUUCAGGCAGGCACAUGCACUUGUUAGCCAAACAGGCAUCUGUUUGGACACAUGAAUGUUGUCUGAGAAGGAUCCACAGGACAUGGAGCAGUCAGUGUUCCGUAGAGGUAGUUAGGGGUUUGGUUUAUGCCAUGUUAAACUGGAGUCCAACUGGGCCUCAGGAGGCUGGAACUGAGGGUGUGAAAAGCAAGAUGGCGUCCAAGGGAACUAUGUAAUGACUGGUCUCAAGAGGUGAAAUAUCUAACUGAAGAUUCAGGCUGUGCACACAAAGAGCAGCUCAAGACAAAAUGAGCACAGGGCAGGUGCCAGAGUGGUUGAGGGUCUGUGCAGAGGGACUGACAGGAGGAAUAUUUUUGACGUAUGCACACCAUCCUGGACUGUGCAAUGGAAUAGCCUGAAACUGGGUUUGCAGGAAUGAAUGCCUAGGUGUGAGGAAGAGAGAAUGUGGGAGGAAGUGAAAGUUAGAGGAAGACAAGAAACCAAGGAAGGUGGGCAGGGACAUGUCUUUUUGGGAUUCUGUCCAUUCAGGGGACAGAGCGUACACUGGCCUACGAGCAUGUCAUCAAUGUAAAAUCUAUCUCUGCCUCAGGCAUCCUGAGACCACAUUUCACCAAGAUGCCUUGUUGGGAGGAGGGAGAGGGGUUAGAAAUUUUCCAAAGCUGGAGAAGGCUGGCCCAGGUCACCUGAGCUGCACUGUGAGAUCUGUAUGUAAGAACACUAUUUAGAGAGCAGUGAAGGUCAGGGGCACCCAGGACUCUUUGGUGCAGAGAAGAAAAGUGAGUCCCAAGACACUUAGAGAAAGCCUUUCAGACAAAGGAUGAGGCAGGAAUAGGAAUUUGGAACCUUCUAGUUGUAGGGCAUGCGUGAUGACAGGGCUGCACUCUUGCUGGAGGAAUGCCUGGUCUUGCAUGAUGGCUGGACACAAUCAGGCAGCCUAGCGAGUAACGGGAGACGGGCAGCGUACCUCAUUGUCGCUGCUGUACCAGUAACUUCUCACAGCUGAAACCAACUAAUGUGCCUCUUCAGGUUUUCCCCAAACUGCUCUCUAUUUUCUUGCUACGUGAGGAAGAGGUUUGAUCAAACUUUAUAAGGAAGUGGAAUGCUUGAGCAUAUAGUUUGGUUACAGGGUUUUGCUUCACUCUGUGUGUUGUGCUGGCUGUGUAGCCCCUGUCUAAAUAUCUUUGUUAAACAACAACAUUCUUUUCAGUCAUUUCUGAACACACACACAGUAAGAGAAACCAAAGAAAACCACAAGCACAAUCUUCCUGCCCAACUGUCUCAUUCACCUCCCUAAAUCACUCUUAAAUUUGUAUUGAAUUAUGCCAGGUCAACAUGUGCCCAUAGGACCCUUUUAACCACGAUGUUUAGACAGAUAGCUUCUGAAAUCGAGGAUUCUGGACGAAAACCUACUGUGAAGCAUGACAAGAUACGCUCUGCUGAUUGUGUGAUAUCUGAAGGUUGUGCUUGAAAAGGGGAGUUUUAUGUCCAUUGUUCCAUUUCAGUCUUUUCUGCAUGCACAUCUGGACAUGUUGGCCUUUAUCACUUACUUUUUAUUUCCAAUUAAAAGCAGCAGAACUCCCAGAGGCUGCCACACCCAUGAGAAGAAGGGAAGAGGGGCAGGUACUGUGCUCAACCCAGAGCUGAGAGCAAGGUUUGAGGUCUGUGCUGUGUCUCCGAAAUGCUCAAAUCUGACACCACCUCCAAGUUCUCCAGGCUUGUGCCCAAUGAACAGAAUGAAAUGCAAGCACAUGACCUCUUUGAAAGGAAAGAGGGAAAGGAAGCCUACUGCAUGUCUCUUGAUUCACUUUUGUCACUCUCGGGCCAUAGAUGAAGACACAUAGGAGACUUGGGACUCCGGGACAGAGCUCACAGUCCUUCCCUGCACGAUUAUAAAGUCUCUAACUAUUUUCAAGCUGUGCUGGCUUCCUUUGUGUUUCUAGUUAUUUAUUUUUACCGUUUACUUGCUUGGUGAGUGGAAGAGUGUCCUGGUAGGGGUCAGAGGUCAACCCGCAGUGCCUGGUUUUCUCCCUUCUACCAUGUGGGAUCCAGUGGUCUAACUCAGGUCAUUAAGCUUCAUAGCACUAAGCCAGUGGGCAGCUUUCUUUUGUGUUUUUAGCCAGAGUUUCUUUAUCCCUCCCUUGUACCCUUCAUCAUCCUCUCUACCCCUGCUUUUCUCCUACACCAAUGGCUGACACAUUUAUUGGGAUUUUUCUUGUUAUAAGUGAAGCUUCAGGACACUGUUCCACUUAAGUGGGACAUCAGAGAGCAGAGGUGAUAUGAUGAAGGAUUAGCCAGUGUGUUUGCUCCAACAGUUUUCACCUUGACAACAGCCCAUGGCGGGUUGAACUGUAUUCUCGAGAGAGACACGGGGAAGCCCUAGUCCUUGGGACGGCACCAUGUGCCUUUAUCUGGAGACAAGGUCUUUUGCAGAUGUAAUUAUUCCCAAAGGGGGCCUAUUCCAGGAGGGUAGGCUCAUAAUACAGCUUGACCUUUGGUUUUAGAAGAAAACAAGAUAGCUAGAGAAGUAGCUUAGCGGUAGGGUGGUUUCCUAGCCAGGCCUUUCGUUCAACCUGAAAUACCACAUUAAAAAACCAAGGGACAUAGUCCCGACACCCAGGGAGACAGGGAGAAACCUCUUGACAAUAGUAGCAACUAAUGUGCCACCAUGACUAGCGGAGGAGAGCCAAGGGUUGCCAAGGCGUGAGACACACUGUCCUCGCGUCUUCAGGGAAAGACGGGUUCCGAUGACAUGCUCAUUUCAAACUGCUGGCCUCCUGACCUGUGAGUUAGCUUCUUGGUUGGCACAGCUUCCUUAAAACAUCCCUGGGAAACUAAAGAAGCUUUCUGUAAAACAACAGACAGCACCAACAAACGGCACUGCGUCCUCUGCAGGGAGGAGCCAGCCUCGUAUGGAAAUGUUGCCAAGACAACUGGACAGCUCUUGCAGCAACAGCUCGCGGUCUCCAGGGACCCUGUCUGUGUGAGCCGCCAGGGGACUUGGACGCACAUGGUUCUCAUUAAGCACGUAGAUGGCACUGUCCCUUCUCGUGAAGGACAGUCACUUUGCAGGGGCGCGUGCUCCCACAGUGCAGAGCUGAGGAGCCCUGAAUAACAGUGGGCGAACAGGAUCUUCUCUGUAUGCACCAGUGACGUUCUGAUCGAUGCACCAGAGCAGCCAGGCUGUCGUGAGAAAGGCAGCUCCGGCUAACAGCCUUUGGGACCAGGAGUGCCAUCAAGCCUAGAGGAGAACCACAGGGUGCCGUCCCCAUCACCAGACUGCAAGGAAGCGCUGCUGCUGCAGUUCUGACGUGUCAAGGCUCAUUUGCAAGCUCCUCGGGUUUCGGCAGAGUCUGCUGGUAAA